CUUUUGGCAAGGCCUUGUUUUUCCUUUUGUCCUAAUUUCAGAUGUGCAAGCUCCUAUUGAGGUCUGCAACACAACUACACACUUAAUCUUCCAGAAACAAGCCUGACAUACAGAAUCUUCAAUGAUUAACCAAAUAAAAUGUUGAGAUUUACAAGAUGAGCAGUGGUGCAAUUCUGCUGACUGCCAGCUGCCUGCAUUUUGCAGUUCGAAUCUAUCCAGGCUCAAGGUUGACUCAGCCUUCCGUCCUUCCGAGUUUUACUAUCUUGAUAGAUAAUGAAGGCAGA
rnacentral:lncRNA from 1 species